AAUUAAAUCAUUAGUCUUCUUUUCAUGCGCUCCUAAUCACGAUAGAUCGCAUCAUAGCUUUAACCUGCAAAUUAAGCAAGAUUGAGCACGAUGGCCCAACAAGUCUAACAGUCUAUCAUACAUCACAUAGCACAUAGGUUUCACAUUCAAUUCAUGCAUUUAUAUUCUUGAUGUUGGGUUAAAUGCUUAUUUAGUCACUGUACUAUACGUCAACUUACAAGUGAGUCACUAAACCAAUUUUUCUUACAGUCAACUCACUAUACCUUACUUUACUAACAAAAAUUUUAAAUUUCGUCUUUAACUGUUAAAUUUUUAACAGAAGUUUGACGUGGCGCUUACGUGGCUUAAUUUUUUCAAUAUAAAUUGAUGACUAGGCCUAAACAUGCUUAUGUGUAAUUUUAAAAAUUAUUUCAAAUAUUUUUUCACAAUUAUUUAUCAUUUGAGGGUAAAUAUGUCAAACUACAUUUAUCUAACAUUAAAAUUAACUCAAUAAAAUAUUUUAUCUAUCAUCUUCCUCAUCUCUCUCUCUCUCUCCACUUACAAAUCUCUCUCUCUCCACUUAAGCCACUUACAGAUCUAGCCAUGUUAUGCAACAUCAUAACAGAUUCAUCACUUGUCGCAAUGAUUUAUUUAAUAAUAUCUUUGAUGGUGCAGAACAAAUUUGGGGUAAGAGCUAUCACGGUGCGGUGGUUUCGAUUCCUUCUUAUCCUCCAUCAUAAUAGUCAAUUAGAUCUGAAAUUAAUGAUUCUGCAGUGAAAAUGGCAUGGCCUUGGCUUGGUUUCAUGGAGGUUAAACAUAUUGAGCAAUUAGUAGAUCUAGGCUUUUGAAGGUUUCAUGGAGGUUAAACGAAGAAGGAGAUGAACAGUACCAACAUUUAGCUAAUUUAAAUGUUAAAAUAAUCAUUUUUACUACAUUUAAUUUAUUAAUUUUCCAAGUAAAAAAUGUAUGCAUAUAAAUGUCAAAAUAAAUUUAUAAAUAUGUAUGUAUAUAAAAUCAAUAAGAUUUGAUUUAUAAUUUUAGUAUAUUUUAAUUUUAUAAUUUUUUAAAUAAUUAUACUUGUUAUUAAUUAUCUAAAAUUUAUUUUCUAAUUUCUAUUAUUAUAUUUGUAAAUAAUAAUUCAAUAAAAAUUCAUUUGAUAUGAAUUACAAAAAUAAUUAAAUAUAUAUUUCAUUUAUUUUCUUAUUUUUUGGCAAAAUUUUCUAAUUUAUAUAAUAAUAUUUGUAAAGAAUUAAAUAAAAAAUCAUUUGGUAUUAAUUACAAAAAUAAUUAAAUAUAUUUUUCAUUUAUUUUCUUGUCUUUUUUGGCUAACUUUUCUAAUUUAUUUUAACAUAUGUUGUUUUAUUUGCUAUUUUUUUUACUUUGUUUUAUUUUUGAAAAAAAUCUUUCAUUUCCACUCAAAAUUGGUCACAUUAUACAUGUCAGCUUUCUCUUUCUUCCACGUAAGAAAGCCAACAGACUUAACAGCUGAUGUGGCAAAUUCCGUCUAAAGUCAACAGACUUAACGGAAUUUCUAACGUUUUGUAAGUAAACACAAGUUCAGUGAGUUGACUGUAAAAAAAAUCGGUUUAGUGACUUACUUGUAAGUUGACGUAUAGUACAGUGACUAAAUAAGCAUUUAACCCUCUUGAUGUUCAAGCAUAUUACAAAUGCAUUAUCACAUUUAUGUCCUGUAGAUAGCAACAUACAUACCAUAACAUACUACACAUGUCCUGUACAUGUCAUUCAUUGCACAUAUAUAUUAUAUAUAUUGAGUUCCCCGACUCAAUUCAAUAAUUAGUCAUAAUUUGACCUUCAUCAUUCACAAAGCAAAUAAUGCAGUUCAUAGGUAUUACAUACUUAUAAACACUGUUCUAAAAAUCCACGCCUAGGCGCUAGGCCCCCCCUUGGCGACCCGCCUAGACGCUAAGCCCCCCUUGGCGCCUAGCCUAGGCCCUAGGCCCCCCAAGCGCCUCACCUAAGCCCAAGGCGACAAAAAAAUCCCUCUAAAAAAUUAAGUGGAACUUAGACGGGGUCUAUGCGGAGAGAUUUUUUUAAUUUUAAUAACUACUCAAACCAGAUCUUGAUAUAUAUAUUUUUUAAUGAUCUAUCAUAUUAAUAAAACAGGUUGUAACAUAUCAAAUCAUAACAACAAGUGAACAAUAUCAAGUCAAAAUGGAUAAUUUUAUUAUAGUUGUAAUUUUUUGAACUUAAACAACUUCAAAUUAUAUAAAUGAUGAUACAUGUGUAAUAUUUAGUUUAAUUCAAUAUAAUUCUUAAAUUUAUGUUUAAUUUCUUAAGUUUUAAUAUGGAAUUAAAUUCUUGAAAUUUUAAAUUUUAUUUAUUAGCAAUCUUGUUUAUAAAUUUAUAAAUAAAACUAAUACGUUAAAAAUAUGUUUGAACUUUCAAUAAUUGCAUGCUUGUUUUUGAACUUUGACAUUAGCAGCAAUAUGGAUGUGUUUGAAUUUUAAGCAAAUGCCUUUAUUAUCUUUAUUAUAGAUUGUUUUGCUAUAUAUUAUUGUUUUAUUUGGAUAAAUGUAAGUUAAAAUAUUAAAAUUGACUUAAAAUAAAAAAUCCCGCUUAGGCCCCGCCCAGGCCCCCUAGGCGCUAGGCCCCCCCUAGCCGUCUGCCUCCCGCCUAGCGCCUUUUAGAACAUUGCUUAUAAACAUAAAUCAUGCUAACAGUUAUCUAUAGCAAUUAUAAGUCCACAUAAAUAAACUGAGAAACUUGUCUGUACCGGGAUUUUACCAUUACACCAACUUCUGUGUUCCUUUCACAACCUACAGUGUAUGUGGGAUUGAUAACAAAACACAUUAUCAGUCAAAGUUUGACUAUUAGUGUGAUCUUACUUUAAAACCUUAUCUUGACUUAUUAUAUUCCUUGUAUCCUCUUUAUAUCUAAUAAUAUAGACAUUCAAAUUCGUUAUUUAUAUAACUUAGUCUUAUCUCUCUUUCAUCACCACAUGUGCUAGCUUAUCGCACUUGUAUUCUACGUACUUUUGUGUGUAUCAUACCAUUUCAACAUACCACACUCGGUUUGCAUUGUUCCGAAUAAUAUUAUAAGUUAUAAGAAGAGCACAUUUGUUCCUCUUUAUUUCAUUCUUCUUUUGUCCUUCACCAACAUUGCUGAUACUAUUGACCUUACCAACAACUUUGGUACUCUUAGACUUAAUUGUCUUGCAAUACCCCCUGUUAUGCUCAUUAUCUAUUGUAUUAACAGUACUGUUGAUAAAUACAUGCAAGGCAUAGUUUAUUGACUGCACAUUGAGAACUCUAUUAAGUUACAAUUACCUCAUUUAACAGUUUUCAUGAGUUAAUUCAAUUGAAGUUAUGCCUCUUGAAUUUCUUUAUUCUAUAGUUUACAGAUUAAAAGGGCAUGAUACUCGUGGUGUAUUCAAGGUGAAAUCAAUCCCACGACUGUGCACUUGACCACACAACUCAAUUUUUAAGAAGUCAAAAUCUUAUAGUUUUUCAAUCUCCUCUCUAUAAAUUCCAUUUGAAUAAACUUUCAAAGAAAAUUCUCUCAAAGAUUAAUAUAUUAAGUCUGGUGCACAAAUAUAUACAUAAACUUUCUUGUAGAGCCUUUAUUUGUCAUAAAAAUAUAUGAUUAGAAAUUUCAUUGCUCUGCGAUUUGAACUCUGUUACAGGGCUAAUUACUCCCAACUAUUACAUUCAUAAUUAUGUCUAACUUGACUCAUUACUACUCUACAUACUUUUUAUAGAGCAUAAUAUAUAAAUCAAUGCAGUCAUAUUCAAAUAUAUCACUUAAACUUGUAUUUUUAUAUUUAAACAUCUUACUUUUAAUUAUGAGCAUGUCAAAGAAGUAACGCAAACGUGUUUUGGACUUCCCACGAAUGGUUCAUAAUAGAAAUGAAUUCUUUAUUCCUUCAGGAUGUUCACAGGCUUUAGACUAUGAAAUUUCUAUAUCUUAUAGAAUUGAAUCUUACUUUAACAGUAUUUAAAUAAUGCUAGGGUCCCAAAUUAUCCUUCAAAUCUAGUGUCCAAAAUUAUGUGUCACUACUACAUUAACUGACCACAUAACUAUUGAUCAUUCAUGUAAUAAAAUACAUUAUAAAUCUAAUUUAUGACCCUAACUUUGUUACCUCUAGAAUUCCUCGUUAGCUCGAGAAUAUAAACGUUUAAUUACAUGUGUAAUAAUACCAUCAUAAUUUUAACAAUGAACCCCAGUUUUGCCAUAUAUAUUAUUUGUUCUAUAUCGUGAAAAUGAAUAAUAUCUAUUUCCAACCAUCGUCAUAUGCAGAACAACCUCAAUAACUAUCAUAUAUUAAGUUAUUUAGCAAUUUAUAAUAACUCAUGUAGCUUCAUGUUUUAAAAAAAAACCUCGAGAUAAAUCAACAGUGUAGUAGCCCAGCCAGUCAGCCAUGUUAGGCCAACUGCUGCAGCGCACGCGCGACUGCAACUGCUGCUGCCUGCAGUCAACCCAUGCCAACCUGCCUCCUUCUCCAUUUUCUAAAUUACAAACCACAUGUCCAAACAAAAACCAAUUUUUAAUAUGUUAUGCUUGACAUGGCAUAUUAUUUUAAAAAAAAUGUUAGCCAUUCAAAACAACCCUCACAAACCAAUUUUACACAGCCUUAAAAUGGCAUGUCGGACAUUUUUUUUUAAACUGAGCUCGUUCUGGUUUAAAGCAGACUUUAAACUUCAUUUAACUUACCUAAUAUACUUAAGUUAUCAGCAUAUACAUAUAUAUAGCCUUCUUUAACAGUAGCCCUGCCCAAUUCUAACAGUUUUUUUAACUUUUUCCCAGCUUUACCCUCUCUCGCUAAAACGGUCAUAACUUCUUCGUUUUAAAACAUUUUUAAGCGAUUCUUGAGCCCACACGAAGCUAUCUUCCGAGACUACAACUUCUCUUCAGAUCACAAAUCCAAAUUCCAAACCGAACAGAACAGAAAUCUGCUCUAAGUGGACAGAAUGUUCUGUUUUUAGACUGCACGGCCCUCCUUCACUAAAAUGGUCAUAACUCCUUCGCUUCUCAACAUUUUUAAGUGAUUCUUGAACCCACGCAUUCGUAACUUCCUCCUCUACAACUUCCCCUACUGAUAUUUUCCAGAUUCCAAACAUAUCAGCCCAGAAAUUCAGUGCAAAGAGACUGCACCGCAUUUCUUGGACAGUUUCGACUCUACUACUUUGAAAUGUCAUAACCUUUUGCUACGAAGUCGGAAUCAGUCCGUUUUGGAGUCUAUGAAAAGCUUAUUCAGUAUAAUAUAACACUACAAAAGCCCAGGAUUUUCUGGAAACAUAUAUUAGACCCGAAAUUGGCCUCAAGGUCAGUGGUCACACUAGUUUUCCACUUUUCGUUUUGACAUCCAAAACUCGUGUCGACUCGAUCCAACCCAACUUUCUUUACAAAUAAGUCUUAUUUAACAUAAUAAGACUCAUCUAAUGUCUCGUCUCCAUUACAUUAGGCGUUUUUAGUCAAUUUAGCUCAUUUGAGCAUUUUUACAAACAUAUAGUGUGCGCCUAAAUUGUGGGCUGUUGUCUAUAGGUUUGGGGCUACGUAUCAACCCAUUCCCGUCAACCUUAUUGCUCCACACAACCACGCUAAUCUCCAUGGCUCUACUUCAGUCCACAAGGAUCCAUUUAUAAGAUAUGCCAUACAUGUAUACAUAAUACACUAACUAGUUACUUACUAGCUUUCUAAUUCAUUUCAAAACUUUACUUUAUACAAUUUCAACAUAACCAUACUAUCUAUCAACUCUAAUUUACUAAAUAACAUGAUCACAAACCAUACAUAUAACUGUUACUCUUCAUUUCUCAGUCACAGUCAUUACUAACCAUCUUUGUUUUUUUUUUUCCUUUUUGUAAACCAACUAAUUUCAUACUAACAUAGUAAAGAUAAUUAAUUACCUUUAUAGCUUAAUUGAAGAUACUUGAUGCAAUACUUCCCCUCUUUCCAGCCGCUCCCUGCGCCAAUACUUCUCUUAUUUCCACUGAUGGCUUCAGUUCUUGGAGUAAUUCAGUGGUUUAGUAAUAUUCAAGAGUACUUUGUGCUAGAAGUUUGCAAGUAAUAGAGAAUAGAAAGAAAUGGUUUGGAACAGAUGAGGAGUAAAGAUGAGAACCGAAAUGAAUUUUCCUUAAGCCUUCUCAAGCAUCCUUUUAAAAUCUUGGCAAAAUCUUAGGUUAGAUUAUUUAGGCUAGGUGAGUUAGUUGAUAGGUUUUGAAAAAUAAAUAACCCACGUGCUCCACUCGGCCCCUUGCUCCAC
rnacentral:lncRNA from 1 species